UUGGGAGCCAGACAACUCGCCCCAAAGCCAACUCGCCCCAGGACAAGUCGCCCCGAAAAUCUGGACAAGUCGCCCCAAAUAUGUUGGACAACUCGCCCCAAUCGAAAGACAACUCGCCCCAAUUUUGUUUCUUAUAUAUAGUGUUGCUGUUUGCAAAGUAAUUAUAAGGGCUGACUAUAUAUAAAGAGGGUAUCCGAAUGAGCCCAAAGUAUGUGUUUUGUUUGUGUCGGACAAUACUAUUUGUGACUUGGAAUACGAUUGCUAUAUAGUUGUGUGGGUUUCAGUGCAUCUGCCAUGUGUUCAAACAUAUAUGUGCUUAUUUGAUGUCGGAUACAAUAAUUUUCUAGUGUUAGUUAGUUUUGUGUUUGUGUUUCUGCAAUGGCAGAAGUGGCAAAUUGUAAACAUUGCGGAAAGACAGUUGGGCAGAGGCAACGUGCUGUUUCUUGCGAUGCCUGCGAGCGAUGGCAACACAUAGGCUGUGAUUCUGGUAUAUCCCUGGCAGAAUACAAAGCAGCAACAAGAGGCGAAAGAGAAAUUCACUUUCUAUGUGCAGAAUGUUGCAGAAGCAUUCCCACUAUUCAUAGUGUGCCUGAGGACGAAAGGGUAUCACAUGUUGACCCAGAUUUAACACAGUUAGUAGAACCUGACGCGACAUUUCUGAAUGGGGACGUUUAUUCUCCUUCCCGAAGCGUCCAGGCCUGAUUAUACCAACCUCUUAAGGAAUUGCAACAGGCGACGCCAACACCAACGCCCCAAAGAUCCCACAGACACGGACUUUGAGCUCGACAUGGCGUUCAUCAACGAGAAGAUCUCGUCGUCUUUCUUCCGGGACGAGGUCCGCAACGGCGAAAGACGACAUCUUAUAUUCGCCACAGACCAGCAACUUCAACUGUUGAAGAAAGCAAAGACAUGGUACAUUGACGGGACAUUUAAGGUGGUCCGACAACCCUUUUACCAGUUGCUUUCCAUUCAUUCUUUCGUAAGGUCCGGUGACGACAUGAAGCAGCUUCCGUUACUGUUUGCGGUGAUAGUUUGUGUUUAAUUAUUACGGAUGUUUGAUAAUAUU